rnacentral:tRNA from 1 species
UGAGAAAUUAUUUUAAGUUUAGAAUUUUUGACUCUUAAUCAGAAAGUUUGUUUUCUCAG